UACGAAGGGGGCUAGCGUUGUUCGGAAUUACUGGGCGUAAAGCGCACGUAGGCGGAUUUGUAAGUCAGGGGUGAAAUCCCGGGGCUCAACCUCGGAACUGCCUUUGAUACUGCAAGUCUCGAGUCCGAUAGAGGUGAGUGGAAUUCCUAGUGUAGAGGUGAAAUUCGUAGAUAUUAGGAAGAACACCAGUGGCGAAGGCGGCUCACUGGUCCGGUACUGACGCUGAGGUGCGAAAGCGUGGGGAGCAAACAGG
rnacentral:rRNA from 1 species